GCCUCGUUAGCGCAGUAGGCAGACGCGUCAGUCUCAUAAUCUGAUUUAGAAAUCUGAAGGUCGUGAGUUCGAUCCUCACACGGGGUA
rnacentral:tRNA from 1 species